UACGUAGGGGGGCGAGCGUUGUCCGGAAUUAUUGGGCGUAAAGAGCUCGUAGGCGGUUCGUCGCGUCGGCUGUGAAAACCCGGAGCUCAACUCCGGGCCUGCAGUCGAUACGGGCGGACUCGAGUUCGGCAGGGGAGACUGGAAUUCCUGGUGUAGCGGUGAAAUGCGCAGAUAUCAGGAGGACACCGGUGGCGAAGGCGGCCUGCUGGGCAGUUUCGUCGACACUGGAGGCGCGACAGCGUGGGGAGCAAACAGG
rnacentral:rRNA from 1 species